rnacentral:rRNA from 1 species
UACGUAGGGUGCAAGCGUUGUCCGGAAUUAUUGGGCGUAAAGAGCUCGUAGGCGGUCUGUCACGUCGGCUGUGAAAUCCCGAGGCUCAACCUCGGGUCUGCAGUCGAUACGGGCAAACUAGAGUAUUGCAGGGGAGACUGGAAUUCCUGGUGUAGCGGUGAAAUGCGCAGAUAUCAGGAGGAACACCGGUGGCGAAGGCGGUUCUCUGGGAAUAUCCUGACGCUGAGGAGCGAAAGUGUGGGGAGCGAACAGG